GAAUUGAAAUUUGUUAUUUUUUGUUACUUGAACUUUGAAUGUGUUUUCAUGAGCAUGAAUUGUAACCCGACCCAAAUAAAAAGUAAGAUAUGUGAUAGUAAUAAAGGGCACGGGCCGAUAGGCCCGGACCCAAAACUCACUACUUAUCUCCUUAGGGGUGUGGGGGCAAUACCCCGCACGGUAUGAACCAAUAUAAAUAUUAUAAUAUUUUUCCAUUUGCGGUAAAAUUGUGAGAUAUUCGAGAAACAC
rnacentral:misc_RNA from 1 species